CCUACGGGAGGCAGCAGUGGGGAAUUUUGGACAAUGGACGCAAGUCUGAUCCAGCCAUGCCGCGUGCGGGAAGAAGGCCUUCGGGUUGUAAACCGCUUUUGUCAGGGAAGAAACGGGUUUCUCUAAUACAGAGACCUAAUGACGGUACCUGAAGAAUAAGCACCGGCUAACUACGUGCCAGCAGCCGCGGUAAUACGUAGGGUGCAAGCGUUAAUCGGAAUUACUGGGCGUAAAGCGUGCGCAGGCGGUUAUGCAAGACAGAGGUGAAAUCCCCGGGCUCAACCUGGGAACUGCCUUUGUGACUGCAUAGCUAGAGUACGGUAGAGGGGGAUGGAAUUCCGCGUGUAGCAGUGAAAUGCGUAGAUAUGCGGAGGAACACCGAUGGCGAAGGCAAUCCCCUGGACCUGUACUGACGCUCAUGCACGAAAGCGUGGGGAGCAAACAGGAUUAGAUACCCUGGUAGUCCACGCCCUAAACGAUGUCAACUGGUUGUUGGGAGGGUUUCUUCUCAGUAACGAAGCUAACGCGUGAAGUUGACCGCCUGGGGAGUACGGCCGCAAGGUUGAAACUCAAAUGAAUUGACGG
rnacentral:rRNA from 1 species